UACGUAGGGGGCAAGCGUUGUCCGGAAUCACUGGGCGUAAAGGGCGCGUAGGCGGCCUGCUAAGUCGAACGUGAAAUCCCCGGGCUCAACCCGGGAACUGCGUCCGAUACUGACAGGCUUGAAUCCGGGAGAGGGAUGUGGAAUUCCAGGUGUAGCAGUGAAAUGCGUAGAUAUCUGGAGGAACACCGGUGGCGAAGGCGGCAUCCUGGACCAAUAUUGACGCUGAGGAGCGAAAGCUAGGGGAGCAAACGGG
rnacentral:rRNA from 1 species